rnacentral:rRNA from 1 species
UACGUAGGGGGCGAGCGUUGUCCGGAAUUAUUGGGCGUAAAGAGCGUGUAGGCGGUUCGGUAAGUCUGCCGUGAAAACCUGGGGCUCAACCCUGGGCGUGCGGUGGAUACUGUCGGGCUAGAGUGCGGGAGAGGCGAGUGGAAUUCCUGGUGUAGCGGUGAAAUGCGCAGAUAUCAGGAGGAACACCAAUUGCGAAGGCAGCUCGCUGGAACGAACUGACGCUGAGACGCGAAAGCGUGGGGAGCAAACAGG